CCAAGUCUGACCCCUCUACCAGUAAUCCUUUCCACCGAUUCACUUGAGGUAUUACAUACUCUUUUGCAUGCAUGCCACCCUUUACUCUGGAUGUUUCUGAGAAAUGGAUUUCAGCUAACAUGAGUACCUGCAACUUGCAGGUGUUAAAGUUAACAAUAACUAGGAUGCACUCAGAAUACUCAUGUAUUUGUUUCCCAUAUUAUUAUCAAUCCAAGGAUCAAAGAUUGUUUCCCAUAUUAUUAUCAAUCCAAGGAUCGAAGAAGAAAAAAAGGGACAUGGCAAAAUUGACUUUAGAGAGCUGGACCAGGAUCUACAAAAAUGAUCACACUUAGGGCAGAAUAAUGAUGAAGCCCCGUGCUUUUUUAAUCCAGAGGUCACUUCUGACCUGGCUAAGG
rnacentral:lncRNA from 1 species